UUGAAGUUCGUGUAUGUUCCAUUAGAAAGUUGAACGGGAUUCUCUAAAUCGAUUACUCUAUUUGUUCUUUCACGAUUUUUUUAGGCAUUGUGCGUCAAACGCGAUAAUCUCUAUCGGCCAUCGCUUAAGAAGAAAAGAUAAACAAGAAAACUAGAAAAAAUGAACUGGCGUGUAAGGGAACAGGAAAAACUUAAUCCGGGGAAAAAGAUAUUACUGAAGAAGAAGAAAAGCAGAUUAGCUUGAACGCAAUACCCAUUAAUGCAAUCACCCAUCCCAACCAACAAUCUGCCUGGGAUUUCCUGGCACGGGAACACCUUCACCUGGUAGAGCAGCGCCUGGAACGGGAGCGCCUGUCGAAUAUAGGUGCUUUACUGAAAAAGCACGCAUCACCUGUACCUGAUUUUCAAGUAACAGAACUGGAUGAUAAUUGAUUUAAAAUUCAAGGGACAUUCAACACCACCGAGUAUGAAACGUCACGCCAAGAGGUGAAAUUUAAGCUCAACCACAUUUGUCCGGGGCUCUUUUCCUUUCAUCUUUCCCGGACGUCCUACCAACCGAACCAACUCGGUGCUGAUUGCGAAACUUCCAGAUCCAGCUUUGAAUUUAUGGUUGAACUCUCCUUAACACGAUGACGUGUUCUCCAAGGAGCUCACCUCUCGUUUGCUGUGAGUAUAGUCACCGUAAGCUAACUGCUGUUUGGGCCAGCAUCAACGCAAGUCCGACAUUCUUUUUGAAGCCGAUCUCUCCAGGUCAAUGGAAGUCCGCAAAAAGGCCUUUUGGAUCUCAACGUUUUGAGUUGAAGCAAACAAAGAUCCCUUGCGUGCUGUGGAUUAACUUUUCAAGAACUUAUGGCGAGAUGAACGCACAGAUGCAAUUCGUGAGUUUGUACGUCAAUCAGUUGAACUGCGAUGUUACAUUCCAUUUCGACGCAGCCGAAACAGACGAGUCAAUCGGUGGUCAUGUCGCUAUUUUGUCGGUCAUGUAAUCCACCUGCAUUGGCAUGAAAAAAAAAUCCGUUUUCUUUUUAGCAAGUGAGAAGGAAGGGGAUAGAAACUAACGUUUACUAAAAUGGAAGCGGCACAAACCUUUUCUAAUUCUUAGACUACCACUAGUGCUCGACUGCCACAUAAAAGUUCAAGACUUCAAGCGUAAACAAAACAGAAAAAAAGCCUAAUACAUCUUUUAUUAAUAAUGA
rnacentral:lncRNA from 1 species